GGGUCAGUAGGUUGGUCGUGCCACCGGUACGUACUGGUCUCACUGAUUCCUCCUUCCUGAAGAACCGUAAUGCCAUUAAUUUGGUGUUGCGGGGAAACAGGACUGUUACUUUGAAAAAAUUAGAGUGUUUGGAGCAAGCUAACGCUUGAAUACAUUAGCAUGGAAUAAUGAAAUAGGACGAUCGAUCCUAUUUUGUUGGUUUCUAGGAUUGACGUA
rnacentral:rRNA from 1 species